GCUAUUUUUAUUUAUAUUCUUAUUGCUCUUCUUAUUCGUGUUACAAAUUUUCUUAUUUUCAUUCAUGUUCCUUCUAUUUUAACUAUCAUUGCCAUUGUUAUUUAUAUUAUUUUCCUGUUACAAGUAUAUAAAUCCAUCUACUGUUAUUCUGAAGUAAGGCGAAUGGGUACAUGCUCCCCCCCCCUUUCUGUGUGUGUGUGUGUGUGUGUGUGUGUGUGUGUGUUUAACCGCCAAGUGCUUGCGCUCGCAUUUGAUGAUAAUAGCUUUUUCAGUACGUUUUAAGGUUAAUAUUAUUAUUUUUUAUUUUUUAUAUAUAGAGACCCUAACCAGAACACAAUCUCCACUUUUUUAACUGUAAGUGUAUACUACUACUACUUCUACUACUACAACAAUCGACCUUCUCUUCUGCCUCCUCCCCCUCCUCCUCUUCCGCUACUACUACUACUAUUACUUUUACUACAACAAUCGACCUUCUCUUCCACCUCCUCCACCGCCUCCUCCUCUUCCUCUUCUUCUUCCUCCUCCUCCUCCUAAUGACACGUGUCCAUAGUUUUACGUAAGGAAGCAUGAUACGGACGCUAAUGGUCCUCCUCCUCCCUUCCCCUCUUCCUUCCUUCCUCUCUCUCCUUCCUUCCCAUGUCUCAUUAUGCUCUCCUCUUUCCUCUCCUCUCUACUUAUUUUCUUUACAUCUUUUCGUACUCCCUUCUUCCUUUUCCUAAUUCUCUUCUCCCUCUUUCUCUGUCCUUCCAUACCAUCCCUCUUUUCCCUUAUUCUUUCCUCUCCUCUGCCUGCUGUAUUUUUACCUCCUCCCCUCUGCCUUUCCCUUUCAUUUAACCUCCCUCAUUCCUUCCUUUCUUCCUUUACCUUUAUUCUUUUUUACCAUCCUUUACCUCUCCUCAGCGUUUCCUCUUCCUCCUCCCCUUCUCCUUUAUUCUCUUUUCCUUUCCCUUUUCUUCCUUUCUCCUUCAUACUCUUAUUUAUAUUUCUUAUUUUUCUGUUUCUCCUUCACUUGACUUCCCUCCUUCCCUCCCUCCCGCCUCUCCCUUCUUCCCUUCCUCCCUCUGCCUCCUUCACUUAACCUCCCUCCUUCGUUCCCUCUCCCUUCAUUCCCUUCAAACCUUUUACCCCCUCCGGCAGGUUACGACCACUCCCUCCCUUCUUCCCUUCAUCCCUACCUCUAUACCUUCCUCCUCCUCCUCCUCCUCCUUCUCCUCCAGCUAUCCUUCCCGCCAUAUUCCCUGCAAGCUUACGUAACCAUUUAUUUGUCUCGCUCUAGUCAAUAAUAGUGAAUCUCUCUCUCUCUCUCUCUCUCUCUCUCUCUCUCUCUCUCUCUCUCUCUCUUGUGUAUAUCAAGUUCUGGGUUAUUCUUUUCUUUUUCGUCCAGUCUAAACGAGUCUCAUGCAUUUAUUUUUCCAACCCUUUUUGCGUCUGACGUUUAUAAGACUUGAGAAGAUUAUUAAAGUCGUGUUAGUGAUGGUGGUGGUGAGUGUUAGUGGUGGUGGUGUUUGGUUGGUUGCCAUAUAGUGUCAGUGGAUACAAAUUGAGGUUGUGGUAGUAGUGGUCUGGUGGUUAGUGGUGGUGGUGGUGAAGGUGGUGUAUGUAUGCUUGGUUGCUAGUGUUAGUUGGUGCAAGUUGAGGUAGUUGUUGUGGUUGUGGUAGUCUUGGUGGUUAGUGGUGGUGGUGAAGGCUGUGUAUGGUUGGUUGCUAGUGUUAGUGGAUGCAAGUUGUGGUUGUGGUGGUAGUGGUGGUGAUGGUGGUGGUGAACGUAAAGGAAUAGAAAGAGGGAGGGAGUGAAAAGGAUGCAAGGUAAAAGUAAGUAUAGGAGAGAAAAUUCAAAACGAGAUGAAGAGGGAAAACUGAAUAAGGAAAGGGAGGAAUUCUGGUGAGAUGUGAAGAA